CACUCAUUUCAAUUUCACCAGUUUUACAUGUCCUCAUUUUUGAGUGUGUGUGUGUAUGGUUUUAUGCAAUUUUAUCACAAGUACUUUUGUGUAACCACCACCAAAGACAAGAUGCAAAACUGUUCCAUCAGCGCAAAGAUCUUUUGUGCUACAUCUUUGUAGGCACCUCCUUCUCCGUUCCCCUGUUCCUGCUCCUGGUAAACAACUAAUCUGCUCUAGAGUCCUAUAAUUUUGUCAUUUUGAGAAUACAGUAGACCCUUCUUAACUGUGGUUUCACUUUCUGCAGGUUACAGUUCCUCAUGGUCAACAGCUAUCUGGAGGGAGAUGACCCUCCUUCUGACCAUGUUGUCCAGAGAUCAGUAGUAGCCUAAUGCUAUGUCACAGUGCCUGUGUCAUCCCCUCACUUCAUCUCAUUGUGUAGGCAUUUUAUCAUCUCAUAUCAUCACAAGAAUAAGAAAGGCUGGUGGGAUUCAUCACACGAGUGCGGAAAGAGCAUUCCAGGAAUUGAGAGGAGGAUGCGUCAGGAUGCAGAACUGAGAAAGUCAGGAGAGGAAGGAAGGGCAAGACGGCAGAGGAGUACGGGACCCUCUUUCAGCCGGUCCCCUCACUUAAGCUGCAUAUCUACCAGAGCAUUCUGAACACCCAUGAAAUCAGCCUGAAAGAUCAAGCUGGCUGCCUCAGAUCUUCUUCUUCUCAACUAUAUUCUCUGCUCAUCUAUACAGCUGGAGAAGAAAUGGUGGCGUGACUAUCAGCACGAUAUUGGUCAAUGCCUGAAAAGUCUCUGACAAUGUAUUUUCCAACCAGCAGGUUUUAACUGGGAACUCUCUCAUUAAAAGUGAGUAAAACCUCUUUUCUCUCCAAAAUGCUUUACUGUAACUACUACCAUGAGACAUUUUGUGAAAAGAGGGACAAUGUUCUGUUUUGUUUUGUUUUUUAUGCUCACGUUCGUGUUUCCCACACCUCAUAUUCUGCAUGACACAUAGUAGUGUAUUCAAUAAAUACUUGUUGAGUGAACAAAAUGUAAACAUGUUGACUUUUUAAUGAACA